rnacentral:pre_miRNA from 1 species
AGUGGGAUAGCUGGGUCAAAAUGGUGGUUACAUUCCAAAUUUUCUGAGGAAUCUCCAUGCUGUUUUUCAUAAUGGUUGCACCAAUUUACAUUCCCACUAGUUAU